CCUACGGGAGGCAGCAGUGAGGAAUAUUGGUCAAUGGACGAGAGUCUGAACCAGCCAAGUAGCGUGAAGGAUGACUGCCCUAUGGGUUGUAAACUUCUUUUAUAUGGGAAUAAAAUGUUCCACGUGUGGGAUUUUGUAUGUACCAUAUGAAUAAGGAUCGGCUAACUCCGUGCCAGCAGCCGCGGUAAUACGGAGGAUCCGAGCGUUAUCCGGAUUUAUUGGGUUUAAAGGGAGCGUAGGUGGAUUGUUAAGUCAGUUGUGAAAGUUUGCGGCUCAACCGUAAAAUUGCAGUUGAAACUGGCAGUCUUGAGUACAGUAGAGGUGAGCGGAAUUCGUGGUGUAGCGGUGAAAUGCUUAGAUAUAACGAAGAACUCCGAUUGCGAAGGCAGUUCACUGGACUGCAACUGACACUGAGGCUCGAAAGUGUGGGUAUCAAACAGGAUUAGAUACCCGAGUAGUC
rnacentral:rRNA from 1 species